rnacentral:sRNA from 1 species
CAAUAGCCCUGAUGGGAGCGGUGCCUUGCAAAGCAGACAGCAGGAAAAGGG